AACGCGAAGAACCUUACCUGGGUUUGACAUCCCCGGACAGCCGUAGAGAUACGGUUUCCCCUUCGGGGGCCGGGAGACAGGUGCUGCAUGGCUGUCGUCAGCUCGUAUCGUGAGAUGUCGGGUUAAGUCCCUUAACGAGCGCAACCCUUGUCCCUAGUUGCCACCAUUCAGUUGGGCACUCUAGGGAGACUGCCGGUGUUAAACCGGAGGAAGGUGGGGAUGACGUCAAGUCCUCAUGGCCCUUAUGUCCAGGGCAACACACGUGCUACAAUGGCCGGUACAAAGGGUCGCUAACCCGCGAGGGGGAGCUAAUCUCAGAAAGCCGGUCUCAGUUCGGAUUGAAGUCUGCAACUCGACUUCAUGAAGCUGGAAUCGCUAGUAAUCGCGGAUCAGAACGCCGCGGUGAAUACGUUCCCGGGCCUUGUACACACCGAGACGUA
rnacentral:rRNA from 1 species